rnacentral:misc_RNA from 1 species
GAUGAAGAACGUAGCGAAAUGCGAUAAGUAAUGUGAAUUGCAGAACUCAGUGAAUCAUCGAAUCUUUGAACGCACAUUGCGCCCCUUGGUAUUCCAUGGGGCAUGCCUGUUCGAGCGUCAUUUGUACCUUCAAGCUUUGCUUGGUGUUGGGUGUUUGUCUCGCCUUUGCGUGUAGACUCGCCUCAAAACAAUUGGCAGCCGGCGUAUUGAUUUCGGAGCGCAGUACAUCUCGCGCUUUGCACUCAUAACGACGACGUCCAAAAGUACAUUUUUACACUCUUGACCUCGGAUCAGGUAGGGAUACCCGCUGAACUUAAGCAUAUCAAUAAGCGGAGGA